CGACCGUCACCAUCUCGACCAGCUCAAGCACCGGCCGCCGGCGCGGAGGCGGAGAGAAUCGCGCCACAAAAAGAGAACGCACGUUCCCCCUACUUGCUGGCACCUUAUCUGCCGAUUUUUAUCUUUUUUUCGGCGCACGAUGACGCGAUAUCAGCGCUUCUCGUGGUGCCCAGUGCUGCUGGUGAUGGCCCUGUACACCGGCAGCGUGCUGCUCUUCACCACCUCAAUGCUCUCCACCUCCACAGUGAUGCGGACGGUGGCGACAGAGCCGUGCUCUGGGACAAAGGUGCCGCCGGCAGAUCAGGUAAUACUCAUCUUGAUCGAUGCCCUGCGGCCCGACUUUGUGCUGUCCUCCCUGCGCCCCUUCGCCCGCACGGGUGGUCAAUGCACUGCGCACGAGGACGCGCUGGGGCGCCAGCGCUUGGACGGGGUCUACACCGGGCCAACGCUCCACUACAUGGAGGAGUCGUUGCGCUCGAGCCGGUCGGCGUCCGUGGCGUUCUUCCUCGUUGCCGACGCCCCAACGACGACGGCGCAACGCAUCAAGGCGAUCGCCACGGGCACGAUGCCCGCCUUUCUCGAGGCCGGUUCCAACUUCAACAGCGAGGCCAUCGAGCUGGACAGUAUUCUCCGUCAAGUGAACGGUAGCGCUGUGCUGCUGGGCGACGACACCUGGGAGAAGAUGUUUCCUAACACACCGGCACGGCGCCACUGGAAGAGGGCGGUCGGCAUUCCUUCUUUCGACGUCGCCGACUUCGACACGAACGACAAUGCCGUGCUGGCGGAGGUGUACAGCGUGCUGGCAGCCGAGACGCCAGAGGCCGUGUCACGGGCCAGUUUCGGCUCCCAUGCGGAGGCAGAGGAGCAGGAAGGGCACGCGCGGCUCGUGGUGGUGCACUUUCUCGGCAUCGACCACGUCGGCCACCGCGUCGACUCCGACAACCCGUUCAUGAAUGGCAAGAUCCUGCAGCUGGACCAGAUGCUGCGCAACGUCAGCCGCACGUUGCGGGAGCGGGCGACGUCGAUGAACACAAUGUUGCUAGUGCUAGGCGACCACGGUAUGACCAACAGCGGUGACCACGGUGGUGGCUCGGCGCAGGAGACAGACACCUUCUUGUUCGCCGAGUAUUUCUCAGGGACGGAGUCGGGCGCGACGCACGCGCAUCCGCGGUCGUCGCCCGGGGCGAAAUUGGCGAGAGCGCAGGCGCUCAUUGAGCAACGCUGGCGAGAUGGUGUGGACGCUGAGUUUGACCGACUCCGCAGCUGCCACGCACGUGCUGGGGUGCCGCGCGACCGACUUGGCGCGACGUAUCAGGUCGAUGUAACGGCCACCGUGGCUGUGCUCUUGGGAAGACCCAUUCCGUACUCGAACUUUGGCCGCGUGAUCCCUGAGGUCAUGGUGCUGGCAAACUCCUCUGCCGACAUCGACGCCGUCGAACGAUGCAAUCUGCGCCAGCUGCAGCGUUACUUCAAGGAGUCGGAGAUGAAGGUGCCGCGCGACGCCUCGUGGACGAGGCCGGGGAUAUCCGUCACGCAGCAGCUAGCUGACAUGAGCCUCUACGCUCGCCGCACCCGCACGGACAUGAGCCGCCUCGGCAUGUUCCUCGGCUCCACCGGGUUACUGCUGUGCGCCAUGUCUCUCCUGUGGUCCCCAACCAUCCGCGCGCACGUUCUGCCGUGCAGCGGUGCCGGCUGGUUUAUGCGGUGGACAGCUCUCACACUGCUGCUCCGGCUGUGCUCGGUGUUCUCGAACAGCUUCGUCGUGAACGAAGACUCGGAGGUGCUCGGGCUGCUGAGCUCGCUCCUUGUGUUCUUGCUGGCGUCGCGGGUAUCGGAGUCGUGGGCACAGCGCCGAUUGAGCCGCGCAGGUCCGUCGUCGCCAGACGACGGCGCCAAGCUCACCACGGCGCAGCAGUCGUACCGUUUAACCGCACUUGACGGUAUCUGCCGGGUUGCCACCAUUCUUCCGCGUGAGACAAUCUUCCUCGGCCUUCUCGCUGUCGGACUGCGACUCGGCGUGCCAAUGCUGCUGCGCUACCGCGCCCACAUCACGCACACGGUGGACACGGAGAGCGCUGUGGACCGCGUGCUGCUCAGACUGCCGGCGGGGCUGCGGUUUGAGCGAGUAGGCAUUGCUUUCGGCGGCGUCGCCUGGUCUGCAUUGUACCCACACCAUGUGGGACGCACAACUGUGGUCGUCACAUGUGCGUGUCUGGCACUAGUCUACCAUGUCCCUGUAGCCCACCAUGCCGUGCCGCUGCUCUGUAUUGCCGCUUACCCACUGGCAUGUAAGUGGACGUCGUCCUCGUCGGUCUUGCAGCGCCGCGCUCGUAGUCGAAUGACAUCAUUAGCCGUCGCCUCUGGCCACACCGCCUACGCGUACCUCGUCACGGUGCUGUGGCUGAGCUCGUUAUGCAACGAGCGGGUGGGGACAGCGAUUGUGGUGGCGCUGUACGGCACCAGUCUCCCAUCUCUGUGUUGCUUGCUCCGCGUUGAGCCGGUACUCACGCAGGGUGUCGUGCUGCACCUCUCCGCCUUCGUCGCCUUCUUCGCUGAAGGCCACCAGUGCAUGCUGAAUACGAUCGACUGGAGCUCGUCGCUUGUAGGAAUGCACGGCUACAACAUGUAUGCGGGCGGCGCACUGGUGCUCAGUCGCACCUUUCACGCUUUCUUGCUGGUACCGUUUGCCCUGCGCGCGUGGCCUGGCGCCGUCGCCGCUGCCGCCGUGGCGAAGGUGAACGACAGCCAUAUCGACGGCGCGGCAUGUGAGGAGGCGAGGAACGGACAUUCCUCCGCAGCCACCGUGGCACUCUCGAUGCCCGCGCCGCGAGCGGGAGUCUCCGCUGCUGUUGUUAUAACCGUGUAUACGUAUAUCAUGCUGGCGCAGUCCGCCAUCUCCUGUUUCAACGGGUACAUUCAGAAGACACACCUCAUGCUUUUUCCCGUCUUCUGCCCCAAGCUGCUCUUCGACGGCGUCAUUGCUCUGCUGACUUGCGCAGCAGCGCUGCUUGCACUCAUUCGUCUCCCUCCUUCCAGGCAUUGUGUUGUUUUCCCUGCGCUGACGUCGGAAUAAGCGCGGGCGGUUGUGGCCGAAGGGGGCAGGGGGAGGGGACGGGUGCGCGUGGCGCGGAAACCAUCCAUGUAGGGCAGCUUGCAGGGUGCUCCGUCCAGCCACCAGCGCGUGUGCGCAGCGCUCCCUUGUAGAUAUGCGAGGCGCGCACGUCGCCGAUAGUGGGGCCUGUGACAGGGCUGGCCGGUAGAGUGGUGGUGGUGGUGGUCAGCAUGUCGUGUGGCAGGGAAAGGAACUUGCCGCAUAUGAAGGCAAUAACGAAAAAAUGCGCUCACUGCUGCCCGUCAUAUUCUCUCUCUCGACUACCGUCGCACGCGCUGAG
rnacentral:misc_RNA from 1 species